UCCCAGGUGGCUGGGUGGGUAAAGAAUCUGCCUGCAAUGCGGGAGAUGCAGGUUCGACCCCUGGCUCGGGAA
rnacentral:tRNA from 1 species